UGCGCACCGAGUUUUUGAAACACAGCGAUUACUUGUGUUUGAAAAACUCAGUGCGCACC
rnacentral:pre_miRNA from 1 species